rnacentral:lncRNA from 1 species
AGCUUAUAACUCCUCUUAACUGUCAGCAUCCCUAUGGUUCCAGCAGCCUCGUUCUCCUCACAAACCCCAUUUUCUAUCCCCAGCCCCGGCUCCAUUUGAAGGCAUGGUCUCAUAUGGCCCUUGCCAAGACCACUAACUGGAAGUCUGCAUGGCCCAUUUCUCUAUCAUCACGUGCUUCGGCGACAGACGUGCCGCUGGGCAACUCUGGGCACUGAAACCUCCAUCUGAAUCAUACUUCUACUGCUGUUGACAGUCCUCAGUCUUCCCUCGGGAGAUCAGAACCAUGGAUGGACAACGGACACCACCUCCUCUUGCCCCAAAUGACUCUGACUCCCAAGGGCCUUCCUAGAAAAUGCCCUCAUUCAACAACUCAGUCCACACAGAUAGGUUUCUGUCCAGGGGUCUUCUUAGAGGCUAAGAAGGAGCCAGCCAGAGCAGCCACAGGGAAAAGAGAGAAACAGGCACAGACAAUGCAGGGGACCACCAUUCCCCCUCAUAAACUAUCAGUGGGACUUAUUGCAGUGGUGGAUGGUGUUAUUACAUACUCGAGA